AUGCCCGGUGUACCGAGGGAACUCGUUGAGCACACUCUUAAUAUUGAUCCAAAGUUUAAGCAGGUCAAGCAGUUUCUUCGUAGUUUUAAUGAAGAGAGGCGUAAAGCCAUUGGUGAAGAAGUGUCCCGGCUCUUGGCGGCUGGUUUUAUUGUUAAAAAAUUUCACCCUGAGUGGUUGGCUAACCCGGUGCUGGUGCUUAAGAAGAACGACACGUGGCGUAUGUGUGUGGAUUACACGGACUUAAACAAGGCUUGUCCGGCUGAUCCCUUUGCUCUCCCUCGUAUUGAUCAGAUUAUUGAUCCUACGACGGGUUGUGAGCAUUUGAGCUUUUUGGAUGCUUAUUAUGAUUAUCAUCAGAUCAAGAUGGCAGUUAAGGACCAGGAGAAGACGGCUUUCAUCACUCCGUUUGGAGCCUUCUGCUAUGUGUCUAUGCCUUUUGGGCUCAAGAGCGCCUAG
rnacentral:rRNA from 1 species